AGGCUUGCACCGGUUCCCAUGAGAUCACUGAAGUUAAGCAACGUCGAGGCUGGUCUGUAAGUAGAUGAGUGACUUCUUGGGAAUACCAGGUGCUGUAAG